UAAACCUCUCCUACAUUCCAGACAUCUUUGGACUCUAACCUCUAUUUAAUCCUCAGCAUAACUGCUCAAGCUAGAUGUGAUUUCUCUACUAUUGUUCUCCAUUUCUUAGGUGACAAAGCUGGUUCCCAGAGAGAUUCAGUGACUUGCCAAGGUUGUGCAGUGAAUUCCUGGUGAAAGUGUAUCCAGAUCCCAUCCAUCGGCCUCUAAAGGGUAUGUCCAUCAAGAAGCAAGAUGUGAAGGCAGCAGGUGGAGCUGCAGCCACAGCACCUGUGGGAGCCCAUGGGAACGUGGGUCAGGUAAGCUCACCUACUCAGACUACAAGAAUGUGGGCAGAAAGCUUCCUCUUAACCCAGGGUUCUCAAACUUGAAUGUGAAUCAGAAUCACCCGGGGACUUACUGAACCGCUGGUUGGGUAGCUCCUGGCUCAGCAUUUGCUGUUAUAAGUUCCCAGGUGAUGCUGAACUGACAGCCAGGGAUGUAUGUGUGGGGAACCACCGUUCCAGCUGGACCCCGCACAGAUAUCUGCACCCCAGAAGUGAUGCGGGCACUAGACAAGUUCCAUUAUAAUAGCCAUCUUUAUUUGUAAAAAUCCGGAUAUAAAAUGUAUUCUCUCAGUCUUUCCAAGUUUUCCUUUUUACAAAAACAAAAAGGCACGUGAAACUUUCCUCGCAGUCGUUCCCAGACGAUGUUUCUCAGGCAGCCCUCCCCACCC